GGUCUUGUAUCUUAUCUGUUGCUUUCAUUGGUUAAUAAUAAAGAAACUGCCUCGGCCCUCAUAGGACAGAAAAUUAGGUAGGUGGAGUAAACAGAAGAGAAUGCUGGGAAAAAGAAGCUGAGUCGAGGAGUCGCCAUGAUUCUCCCGCUCCAGACAGACGCAGGUUAAGAUCCUCCCUGCACGGAAGUUUCCCCAAGGAAAGCUGGUGAGCGAAAACAAGCAUCGGAACAAUAUGUGAUAUUCGACUGCAUUUGUGUAAAACAGAAUGCUACAUUUCUGUGGAUGCACAUGCAAGUGUGUGGCGAGAGGCGUGCAAGGAUCUGAUCCAAGCUCACGACGGUGGCACUCGCUCUGGGAAGAGGCAGCGGGACUGGCUGUGGUAGUCUGCUCUGGCUGGAAUAUCUGAGUUUUAAUCAGGAGAAUUAUGUUUUAUCUGAAUCAUUCAAGCUUCAUUUUUUAGAUCAACACUAAAGAAAAUGCAGGUUUUUUUCCCUAUAUAACUUUGAGAUGAAACGGACCUGGAGAUAAAUAAUCCUGGGUUGAUACCUUCACCUCAUCUGUGACCUGUGUGUCCCUGACUGGGUUAUUGCAGCUCCUCCAUGUCGUGGGCAGGAUGGUGCCUAGUUCACAGCCUGGUCAUGGAGAUAAACACAAGACAUGACCAGCUGGAUACACGUCUGAGGGAAGAAACUGAGGCACAGAAGAAAGGGAAAGCAGACGGACAUGCUGACUCCCACCUGCAAAUCCCAGCACUUGGCCGGCCGAGGCAGAAGAAUUGCCAGGUGAGUUUUGGGUCAACUGGGGCUACAUAGUGAGUUCAAGGACAAUGUGAAUGGAAUAGCCAGACUCUACUUCAAAAGUGAGAGAGAUAAGAGAUAGAGAGUUAUGAAGGCAAAUCGCUGAUGUGCCCGGAUGGACAGCCUGGGUUGUCCAAGCAGCACACCAGCCCUUUGUUGUUUCAUUUUGUUUUUCUUGAGACAGGGUCUCACGUAUCCUAGGCUACCCUUGAACUUGGUAAGGAGCGGUGGAUGCUGUUGAACUUCUGAACCUCCUGCCUCCACCCCUCAAGUGCUGGGAGUACAAGUGUGCACCCCACACCCUGUUUACUAGCACCGGGGAUUGCACUCAGGGCUUUGGGUACUCCAGGCAGGUACUCUACGGCUGAACCACACACACCCCAGAUCCCCUACGCUGCUGCUUUGAAAGCUAACCUUGAUGGCUUUGAACCCCGAGUGUCCCCCUAAAGGCUACAUAGCUAUAGGCUCUGGAGGGGUCUAAGGAAGAACCUGAGCUCUGCCAGCUUCUAGUUGUCUGAUCUUCAAUGAGUUGCCGUAGCGUGGGCAUCGGUUUCCUUGUGCAUAAAGCACUGACUUCCUAAGUUGAGCCCGGGGAACUUACAAAGAGUGUGCAGAAUGUCCUUGCAGGGUACCCUGUGACCACCUCUUCUCUCGCCAACUCAUCACAUGCCAGUGAGCAGAAGCAUGGGGGCCAUCUUCCUUCAUUUUCUGCACUCACUUGGAAGCCUAAUGAGGCACUGCCAUGACCACAUGCUGGGUGAAACUCUUAUGGGUGCAGUUGGGUCAGGCACAGAUAAAACACGGAACCAUUUUUUUUUUUUUUGUUCUCGGGCCUUUGAGCACACAGUACUCAAUGACUGGCCUUUCUGUUCUCCAGCUGUUUGGUGUGAGGGACAGACAUUCACCCUCUCUGGGCCUCUCAGGACAUAAGGUGAGGGGGUUCUGCAGGCUGCAGAAGGUGAGGAGAGGCUGUGCGACACAGACGGACAUUUGGGAAACAGUAGUACCACUCCCCAGAGAGGGCCCUGUCUAGGCUCGGGCAGCUGUCAAGUCCUCCAUGGUCUCAAUACUCUGCAUUGCAGGCUGUUGGAAUCUCUCGGGCAUGGGUCAGCCUUUAUAAGGCAUGACAUUCUUGGUGAUGCUUCACCAGGCAUCAGAGGGAUUCUGUCAGUAACCAAAAUGCCCAGUGCGUUUCCCCAACGGACCCUCAAAAGGUCCCUCUGUUGCCCUCACCACAGCCUAAGCCUCUGACCUCUUCACUGCCAGGGUCUGCAGUUCAGUGUGGCAGGAAUCAAAUAUUCCCUUCCUUGUGGGGCUGGAGUGAGAUGUAGCAUGGGGUUCGGUGAAGCGCUGGGCUCUGCAAAUCCAGGAGCCACGGUGACUGAGGGGAAAUAGCACCAGGGUGGAGCUGGGCCAAGGCUUCUGUGGGGAACCAGUCACGGCCUCUUCAUGUAAAUUAGCAUCAGAUAUGCUGUGGUGACAGGUGCUUCUGCCUGCACCUGGGCCCACUGCUUGGCUUUCUAGAAGCACCAGAGAAAGUGCUGGAUUCAGAACACCAGGGUCCUGAAUGACCCACAGGCCUCUGGUGACAUCUUGGUGAUAUUUCUAUUGCAGCUGAGGUGGCCUCCUUUGGCAGAGAAAGGACAGAGUCUGGGCUGACUAUGCUCCUGUUCCACUGGGUUAGAAGACAGGACUUGGGGCUCUAACUGCAAGGAGGCCUAGAUCAUGGGCUCUGACAAUAGAUUGGCAGGGUCUAGACCUCAGUGCAGAAAAAGCACAGGCUCCCUGAUACUGGCUUGUCUUCUCACUCUUUUCAGAUGCUGGCCUGCCAUUGGUGUUGGGCACUGGGAUUGAUUAGAGAUGUCUGUCACUGCUGUGGGUUAAGUAGAGAAGGACUUGAGAUGUAUUUCCAUCUGUCUGUCUUUGUUUUGUUUUCAGUACCUGGGACAGAAUCUCAUGGUCCAUAGAAGGGAAGUCUUUUGUUGUGGUUUUGGACGUGCCUGCCAGCCAAAUUCAUUGUUUCUUGCACAUCUGUUCCUCCUCUGACUGGAUGGAGAUGUAGAUCAACUUCCUUGGUGUUUUUUGAUUUGACCUUUCUUUGCUCUUGAGGUCACACUUAAAUUCAGACUCUAAGCCUUUGUCUUUUUCUACAGUGGCCCCUCAGUGAGGAUUCUUCCUCCCACCCCACUUCUCAUUCACCAUGUAGUCUGGGCUCACCUCCCUAAGGCACCACGGCAGACGUCCACUUCUCCACUCCUUCCUUCCUCCCACUCCUUCCCUCCCCGUUUCUGUUCUUUUUGCUCACAUAUUAAAGUAAACAUUAAAUAGA